rnacentral:rRNA from 1 species
GACGAACGCUAGCGGCGUGCUUAACACAUGCAAGUCGAACGAGACGAUUGAAAGCUUGCUUUCGAAAGUCGAGUGGCAAACGGGUGAGUAACGCGUAGACAACCUGCCUUUGAGAUGGGGACAACAGUUCGAAAGGACUGCUAAUACCGAAUGUUGUAUAUUUUCCACAUGGAAGAUAUAUUAAAGAUGGCCUCUAUUUAUAAGCUAUCGAUCAAAGAUGGGUCUGGGUCUGAUUAGCUGGUUGGUGGGGUAACGGCCUACCAAGGCGACGAUCAGUAGCCGGUCUGAGAGGAUGAACGGCCACAUUGGGACUGAGACACGGCCCAGACUCCUACGGGAGGCAGCAGUGGGGAAUCUUCCACAAUGGACGAAAGUCUGAUGGAGCAACGCCGCGUGAGUGAAGAAGGGUUUCGGCUCGUAAAGCUCUGUUGUCGGGGACGAAUGUGCAGUAUUUGAAUAAAGUACUGCAAUGACGGUACCUGACGAGGAAGCCACGGCUAACUACGUGCCAGCCGCCGCCGUAA